rnacentral:rRNA from 1 species
CGGCAUGCCUAACACAUGCAAGUCGAACGAAGUCUUCGGACUUAGUGGCGCACGGGUGCGUAACGCGUGGGAAUCUGCCCUUGGGUACGGAAUAACUCAGAGAAAUUUGUGCUAAUACCGUAUAAUGUCUUCGGACCAAAGAUUUAUCGCCCAAGGAUGAGCCCGCGUAAGAUUAGCUAGUUGGUGAGGUAAGAGCUCACCAAGGCGACGAUCUUUAGCUGGUCUGAGAGGAUGAUCAGCCACACUGGGACUGAGACACGGCCCAGACUCCUACGGGAGGCAGCAGUGGGGAAUAUUGGACAAUGGGCGAAAGCCUGAUCCAGCAAUGCCGCGUGAGUGAUGAAGGCCUUAGGGUUGUAAAGCUCUUUUACCCGGGAUGAUAAUGACAGUACCGGGAGAAUAAGCUCCG